rnacentral:misc_RNA from 1 species
UUUUUUUAUCUUAUUAAUAUAAUUAAAGAUAAUAUGUAAUCUAUAUACAAUUUGAAAAGUAUGCGAAAGUUUUGCUUAGUAAAAUAAUAUAGGUUUAUUAUUGUCUUGAUGUAAUUUACCCCCCAAAAGUAAAUUGUAUUUAGCGAGGUAUUAAAUGUUUGAUUUCGGUCAAAAUCCAUCUAGCAAUUGUUUCCAUAUGUUACUUCUAAUCCCAAUCUUUACUCGAACAGCGGCAAUAGCCAAAGUUCAAAAACCAUUUUUCUAGUAUGUCAAACAAACCAUUUAAAAUAUGUUUUAUAUUUAAAUAUUUAAGCAUAAACGGUGAAUACCUCGACUCCUAAAUCGAUGAAGACCGUAGCAAACUGCGAUAAUUCACUUGAAUUGCAGCCUACUGGGAUAGUUGAAAUGUUGAACGCACAUGAUGACAUUGGUCCUUUCGGAUUAAGUGUUAUACCUGGGUGAGAGUGGCUUUUAAACCAGUCAUAAUCAAAUGAUUUUAUUACUUUCGAGUGGUAAUAUCUUUGAGAAUGAUUUGUAUUUAGAAUUCAGACCCUUCAAGCUGACCUCACGGUUAGUUUGUCGACUAGAUUCUCUAUACAUUUGUACGGUACUCCGUAGUAAUUGCUCACAGUCAUUCUUUAUAUCGUCUCUGAUUAAUCUAUUUUCGUAUAGUUUUUUCAACGUGGGACCUAAUAGAAAGUCUAACUUGUCAAGUAGAAAACCGAAUUGAUUUAUCACUAGUUUUCCAAAGACUGACCUGAUAAGUAUAUCUGGAAACCUAGAUUAAACUGAUUAUUAAUCUGUCAGAUUCAAUAUGCUGAAUAACAAAACUGUUUAGUUGGUUCAGUUAGCUUAGAGUGCUACUCUUAUUAGUCUAUUUAUUGAACCCAUGACUUAUAUGUGC